UACUUUUUCGAGAAUAGUUUAAAAGCAAAAUUACACUUUAAUCCAUUAUUUUAACAAUAAGUCUAAAUGUGAGAGUGAGCUAGAACUCUAUCAAGCAACUUAUAACCUAAAUAGAUAGAUUUAAGGCCUAUUUUGAGAGAGAGAUACACACACUAUCUAUCAAGCAACUUAUAACCUAAAUAGAUAGAUUUAAGGCCUAUUUUGUGAGAGAGAGAGACACACACACCCCUAAACUGGCUAGGCAGAAUUUUUAAAGCCCAACCUUUAAGCUUGAAAACAUGACUACUUAGAUAUAUUUGUAUAUUAUAUAUUUUUAUGUAUAUUAUAUUAUAUUUAAUUUUUAUCUUGUAAUUACUCUUUUUUGCUAGGUUUAUUUGUUUCAUUUCUUCUCCUACCCUAGGAUUUCAAGCGGCGCACUACUUCCUGACCUCCAUCUCCGCUCAGUCUUCACCGUCCACUCUCCACAUCUCCUUCGGUCGUCUCUUCAGCUGCUUCCUUUUCGAAAUUCCAGAGCUGAGACUCGCCGGUCUCCAUCAGCUGCUCCACUUCUGAUUCGGUGAUGCCUCCUUAGCCGUUCCCCUUCCACCGUUCGAAGAUCCCGUCACCGUUCUCCUCCGUCCGAAGCUCCAGUCGCCGUUCUCCAUCGUUCGAAGCUCCAGAUUCGCCGUUCUCCUUGAUUCCUUCGUUCGAUCGCUUCUUCAACUCCAUCUUCUUCGAUCUUGCUUCUUCAUGUCCAUUCUCUCGUGCUCGUCCUUCAGGCUUCGUUAUGAGUUCAAGUCACCAAAUCAUACAUGAAGGCGCUGAAGAAGAAGUUAUUCAUGAAUCAGAUAUAUUUACUCACAUUCUAAACAUUAAAACCAUCUCAUCAGUCAAUAGCUGCCGGAAUUAGACAUAACGGUCUUGCCGAAAAAUGAUCUUCCCACAGGCCUCCCUGACCUGUUUAACAAGUAGAGGUUUAAGGGGGGCGAGGUAUGCUGCGUUCAGCUCACCUGAAGACGAGGGAGCCCUAUUGAUCACAGAAGUGAAGAUACUAAGACUAAGCACCAGAAAUUAUUAUGGUCUUCUUAUUACCAAGUAUUGUCUCAUUGUAUAUGUGCCAGGAAUCAGAAGGUGUCUAUGAAAAAGCAUUGCCUUUGACAAUAGAAAAUCUUAGCCCUAAGGAGAUAGGAACAGACAACCAUUGGCGAUUAAUCUAUCAAUGUCAUUACUAGGACAAGACAAAGUUUAACUACCAUCAACAUAUGUUUUGCAUAUUUUAUUUUAUAAUUUCUCAAAUGUUGAAGGAUGUAAUAUAUUACAAUUUAUACCACUAAACAUGCAUUUUUAUACGUAGCAAAAAAUUUGAUGAGUUAUAUAAAUUUUAUGAAAUGUAAUAACUUGAUAUAAACUUGAUGGAGCAUUCAUUGGAUGCAUGUA